UCCGGCCUCCAGAACUGUGAGAAAUAAGCGUUUGCUGUAUUGAAGAUGGAGGUGAUGCAGCCACAUUGUAACCAUGAAGCAAUGAGCACAAAGACAAAGGUUCCAUUCUAAAGAAGGCUGAAGAAGAGAGAGAGAGAGGGAGCCUGGGUCCCUGAUGGCACUGUGGAACCACCCUACCAACUCUGGAGUGUGUCUGCUGAACUGGUUGUGACAACCAUUGUGAGAACUUAGUGUUCCAUCAAAGGCAGUUUGGGAAAUGCUACAAUAGAUGACCUCUUCAGAUUUCUUUCCUCCUGAACAUUUCACCAUUCCCCAGCUAGAAGAAACCGAGCAGAUAGCCAGGUCUAUAAGCAGCCCUGGUACGUGACUUUAAUGAGACAUGAAUGAGAGCCAAAGAACUGAGGCCUGUGAGGUUGGUCACGGAAGAGCAAUGAACUAGGUAAAUUAAGAAACUCAGGGAGGUGCCAAGUCCCUGAAAUUUCAGAGUGCCCACUCCCCCAUUACGUUUCUGCUAAGCCAUGAGUCUGGCAGAGGCUGUGUCCCUCUGGAUCCACAGCUCCUGCCAAGUGGUCCCUCCUGCACAGCUCCAGCAGGCAGAGCUCUGACGACACCACUCCUUGCUCUCACAUCUUCAGGUGGAGAAGCACUAACGGCUUCCUGGUGCUGCUCCUUCCUGAGUGCGUCACCAUCUCUCUACUCCCUCCUCUGUAAAUAGCCUUCUCAUUAAACUCUUAUCCAUCAAACCCUUUUGGGAGUGCCAACUGCUUCCUGCCUGGAGCCUGACUGACAGAGACAACAAUACACAUUCUUAGAGAAACCACGCUCCCAUGAUUUGCUCAAACAAGUCCCAAUUUCAUGAUUUUUGUCUUUUAAUUAAGGUGAAUUACACGAUGUAUAAAUAAGCAGGAUGCAGAGAGGAAAGCCACCCCCAACUUUAGUCCCCAGUGCAAGCACCACGCCAACCCGAUAAGGGGUUCACUGCUGCUGAACUGAGAGUUAAGGUUCACGGACUGGGUCAAGGACAAAGGCCAUAUAACAAGGACAAGGGCCCUCAGGGCCAACACAGUGUAUGUCACUUGGAUUGGGCUCAGACCAGAUUUCAAGGGAAGGAAGCUAUCAUAAAAAGUAAGGGACAUGAAAGAGCUGAAUCGACUGCACUUCAAUAAGACACCAGAGAAGAAGUCAGCAUGGCUUCAUUGUCAAGUAAAAGAAAGUGAAGCAAUUCCCAGUGGUGGGUACUUUCCCACCUCAGGCUGGGGUGUUCGCAAAAGGAACAGAGCAAUGGCUGUAUAUGAAUGAAAAUCAGAAGGGAAGGAGGACUUCAUGGCGACAAGGCAGUGAUGGUGGAGAGAGGAAAAUUCUUUCACCCUGUAGCAAUGAGAAGCACUUGACAUUAUCUGGUCCCAUGUCCUUAUCAAAAGGACAGCCUGUGGUCACUUUCUAGCACUUGCAAGAAAUCCCAGUAGCUCUCAAGGAAGGGAUGGGAGAAAGAAGGCUCCAGAAUUUGCUGUGUGGGAAUGAGCCACAGAGUUGCUGUUUGGUUUCUAUUAGGUUGGUGCAAAAGUAAUCAUGGUUUUUGCCAUAAUUUUUGGACCAACCUAUACUACUACGACCCUAUUUGGCAUCUCCACCAGUAUAUCAAAAUAUGAUCCCAACAAAUCCGCAAAUUAGAAAAAAAAAAAAAAAAGGUCAAAAACAGUGAUUACCAUGUGCACAUGAGAUAUAGAUGUUUGGAGAAGAGCCUAUUUGGAGAUGUCACAUCUACCUGAAAUUUUCCAGAUGGACCUACAGCCAAUAGGAGACAGCUUCCUGUUCACUCUUCAGCAUAACUACUCACCAAUGGUCAAGGGAGAUGAACUAGGAGUCUGUGCCUAGUUUUUAAAAUUAGCUUUGCUUAAACCAAAAAAUAUUUUAGAUA
rnacentral:lncRNA from 1 species